rnacentral:siRNA from 1 species
GGAUCACUUAUUGAGUUACAAGGA